AAGCACAUAGCACAUAAUGCCAUCACCCCAGACAAAACAAACAUAAACACCCCUGGCAACCAACCACUGCCCUAGCAACCAAAAAGGCACUAUGAAGAGGAUGAAAACUCCAAGAGGUCCGGAGUAGAAUGGAUACUACCUCCACUGAACUGUAGCUUUGCAGGUCAAGGACCAACCUGCAGCCCUCUAUGGACCAAUGAGACAUCACUGAAUCCGCAGUGAUACAGAAAAUCAGGUCUCUCACUGUGAGCCAACAGACGCUUACUUCAUUUUUAUAUCCAAAAGUGGCACGAUCCUCUAGCAGUGUUUGGACUUUAUCAUGAGGUACUAAAUUAGGAAUGCAUUUGAAUGCCUAAUUUUAAGCAAUUCUAUCAAAGGUAGUUUCUGUAGAAAAUUAAACAAUAUUUUAAACUAGAGAAAAUUGAAGAAAAUAAACAUUUUAAUGGAUGCAGCAGAAUAACAGAUGUCUGUAUAUGAAGCAAAUAUUAUUAGAGUAAAUCAUAAUGCAUUUCACAUUUCUGCCAUAGCUAUUUUGAACUACUGAGCUAGAUAAAGAUCAUAUUUGCUUGCUAAUCAUUAUGUCACUUCAUGUUUAAUCCCCCUGCAAGCACACACACAUACAAGUACUGCAAUGUGAUUUAAGUUUCAACUAAUUACAUCUUGAAACAGUUUGAGAAACAGCAACUAAGUACAGGUAAUUAAAUCUUCAGCAGAGAAUCUCUUUAAGUUAUUAGUUGCCUGCAAAGUGCAGGUGGCUAGUACAUGUGUCCUGGACUACAGGAAGCAAAAUACAAACAAAACAGGUGAAUAGAUAGGUAGAUACAGAUACAUACUUAGAUAUGCAGGAACUAUAUAUAUUCACUAGUCCUUCAGUUUAAAACCAUGAGAUCCUAUAGGUAAAAUAACUUUCAUACUGCAGUUACAAUUCAUAAAAGUAUACCUUCUUUAUAAGAAUACUAGAACGCAUUCAAUAAAAUGUAAAGAACAUCUAAUCAAGGCCAGUGAUAUAAUAUAUCCUUGCCAAAUCUAAAAAGGAGGAACUGAAAUGAGAGCAGUAAUAAAAAAGCAGAUAAGUUCUGGUGUCCUUAUGAAUCCUGGAAGAGCUGAUAGAAAAAAUACUUUUAGAAUUUUUUUCGCUUAUGUUAUGUAGUAAAUGAAGUUAGAAGAAAACAACAUGAAGUGCAAUACUUGGUGAAAAUCUCACAAGAAACUUAUGGAAACUUAUCUCCAAAACGAUAAAUACAUUACAGGAAGUAUAAUCACAAAGCACUACAAGAUACUAAAAAUCAUCCCUCCUUUCUUCCCCCCCAAAAAACCCUGAAAAUGAAAGUCUUGUUUUUCUUAAUAGUAAAUAGUAACUAUGAGCUAAACUCUGCCACUCUUGUCUCAGUUCUUGCUUAUACCGAGUAACAUCUUGUUCCAAAUAGUAAGCAUCACUGAAACAAGCUGUUUCUCUAUGAAAAAAUAUUCUCAAACUAGGGAUGACUAAUCAAGAAUAUUUUGAUCAGGAAGCUAGUGCAUUUUACUGCAAAAACAUCUACUCAAAUAACCUCUGUUCUUUAGAAGUAACUUUGCUGCCAUCUGAUCACUUCACGAUAUGGCAUGUGCCUCAAGAGCUUUCAGAGCACACACAGAGAAAAGACAGUAAUACCUUUUAUUGAUAAUAUGUCACAAAAAAAAAAAAAAAGAAAGAAAGGAAGAAAGGAAGAAAGGCAGAAAGAAAGAAAGAAAGAAAGAAAGAAAGAAAGAAAGAAAGAAGGAAAGAAAGAAAGAAAGAACAACCACGUUCAAAUCCUGACUUUAUCUUUCUCAGUAGCUGUCUAAAGUACCAACAACAAGAAGAGAGAAGACAACGUACUUACAAUGGAGUCUUGACACUGUGGCAAGACUAAAACAAUUAGCAAAUUAACUUUAGUUUGCUAGCUCAGCUCUAGUGAUGUUUGUUCUGACAAUUUCCAGUGACAUUAAAGCCUUGGUUAGCAUGAAAAUGAGUCAUCUGCACUGGAAAAUAUCUGGAAUUAUCAUCUUUCUGGAAAUAUCUGUAAUUUGCCUUGCCGUCAGUCAUACAAUAUAAUUUGAUCCAACUUCUAUGCAAGAUUUGAUAGAAUCAGAUAGCAAAGAGCAGAAAACAAAUGUUCCAUUCUGAAUUCCUGACAUAAGGAUAUAUUGUGUCAAACUGAGAGACUGAAGGAUAGAAAUCUGGUUGGAUGAAAUUCUGCGCUUAGUGAAGUUGAUGUACUUUGCCACUGAUUUCCCUGGGGUCAGAAUUUCAUUUUCGGAUAGGGAACUGCAAAAUGGAAUGGCACGGUGAUUUAUACAGACAGUGCAAGGAGAACUCUGAAAAGAAUACUCCAGACUAACAGAGAAAUCUGAACUAUAAACCAUGGUAGCUAAUGAACAAACAUGAAAAGGAUGGAGGCUAGCACUAGUGAUUUUUAGACAUGUAGUAAAAGCCACACCCUAAAAGGCUUAUGACAGCAGCAGAAAGCAAAUACACAAGGUACUUUGUUAACAUUGAAGCAUAAUACUGAAUUUUUGUUUCCUUACUGUAAAUGUUGCAGUUGAGUUUAAGACAUUUAAGCAAGGACAAAAAAAAAAAAAAAAAAAAAAAAAAAAAAAAAAAAAAAACCUUUUUAUCUUAUUCACAGCUUCACAGAAUGGGAUUCUUUAAACAUAUGCCUGACACUGAUAAUAACCUUUAAUAAUGCCCAUGGAAACAGCAGUUAGGACAACAGUAAGUCCACAUAGAAACAUAUAUAUGUAUUUUUUGUGCACUUAUAAAAACACAUAUAUACCAUUUUAACUAUAUAAAUGAAUUAUUAUCUAAAAGCUUCAUACAUUUAAAAUUGAUGGAAAAAACUACAAAAACACAUAAAAAUGCAUAAAGAUGUUAUUCGUACUCUGUGCUACUUAACAAGGAAGGGCUCUUGCAACAGAAAUAGAGAUGAAGAGACAUCCAACAAGCAGAAUCUCCUCAAAUGAAAAUAAAUUAGCUAUGUGCAUAUAAUCAGGAGUAUUCCUAAGUGAUAGCAUACUCAAGAGAAAAAAAAAAAAAAAAAAAAAGCGUCAGCAGGCUCUGUGAGAGCAAAGGAGCCAAUACUCAAAAACCUGUUUCACAUACUAUUAUGAAACAUAGCUCAAAAUCACUGACAGAACUUAAGAGCCUGAGCUAUAGACUAGAAACAGUGAGUUAUUACUGCUAAUGACAGUGGUGUUUGCAGCAGACAAUCAGCAUAAGAUCUGACUGCCAAUGCACCUGCAAAUGUUAAGUACUACUUUCUGUGAGACAGCUAAAAUAUCUUCUUUAAAUAAUCUUUACACGUCUGCACAGCAUGUCCUUUUCACUUUUACAGUCUUUUCUGCAUUUUAAAUCUCUUUUAGCACUGCCUGUAUGUGCUUCCAGCUGCUUAAACCUGAUUUUUUUAUGAAAGUGGAUGUAAAAAACACUCUGAACUUUUACAUUUGUUACAUUGUAACAACAAUAACAACAACAAAAUAAAACAGAAAUUUAGUUUUUAUCAUCUUGCUCACAUGAUAACAAACCCAACUACUCUGUGACCUGUUUGGAAGCCAAUGACCCCAGAACCAGGAAUUUAAUUUAAAAACAGAAACAUCAGAACUUUGAAAGUUACAACUCAGUUACUAUGUGGCUUUCUCAGCUGUUACUACCUAGACUGGAAGGAAAGUGGGAAGCUGAAGUCUUUUUGUUAUCUGGAUCCCCUGAUUUCAGGGAAGGUGAAGGAACAGGUGAUGCAUACCAAUUCCCCAGACUAGUUAGUUGGUGGGCUGUAAAAUGCUGUGUCGGUUGAGUCAUACUAAACUUUUCAAUAAAUCAGUUUAGUCUGACAUGGUGAGUACACCAUAUGCAGUCUGAUAGGUGUAAGAUUUCUGCCUACUUCAGAAAGCAGCUGUGUAAGUCCCUUGUUUACAGCUCUACUGCAGUGUGCCAGGCUAACCUAGACCUCCAUUUCUGUAUCUGCAAUUUUGCAGAGAAACUCCUGGGCAGACAGUUAUUUAUAUGCCUGAUUUGCAGGCUCCUGCAACACACAUAUAAGCCCUCCGGUCUACAGGGGUUUUAGCAAGAUUUAUGUAGGCAGCAGCCACACAGAUUUAGGAGUCUAUGUGAACACAAUGCAUAGUAUAAUCAAUACCUAACAUAUAUUUAGGAAUCAUGUUGGUCAUACAGAUAAGUAGGAAAAAAAAAAGGUGUAUUAUUUCAGAAACUUUGAUCCUGAGUGUCAAUAUUUAAAGCAGCAAUAUCAUAAAAUAUUCUGAAAGUUGUAGAACUUUCUAUUAUUAAAAAAUAGAUCUCCAUGCCUAUUAUUAUUAUUAAAUAUUUAUAAAACUCAUUAACAUUGCAUGAUCCUUGAAAGCCUGUAAAAGGUCAAAGCCCUUUCCUUGAAGAUUUUAAAAUCUAAAUUAGGCAAAGAUGAGUUAGAAAUGCAUAAAACCAACAAAAGGGAGAGAUUUAGAAAAGAUUAAUUCAAACUGAAUAUAUUAGGGACAAAAAAUGCUUUUUGUAUUUCAUAGAAUCAUUUGAUUUAGAAGGGAUCUUAAAAGUCCACCUGGCCCAACUCCUUUGCAGUCAAGAGGGACACCUACAGCUACCUCCUGUUGCUCAGAUCCCCCUCCAGCCUGACCUUGAAUCUCUCCAUGGACAGGGUAUCCACCAACUUUCUGGGCAAUCUGUUCCAGUGCUUCCUUACUGAAGAGUGAGAACAGGACCCUGCAGUUAUAGAGAGAAGGGCCUCACAGCAAGAAAAGGGAAAGUAGCUUCACAAAGUAGAAAUAAGGGGCAAAUAGAGAUAGGUUAGGUGGAGAGUGUUAGAAAACAAGGGAUUCCAAGCACUUUCACAGACACUAGGUCUGGAAUAACAAGGAGGAUGAAGGCCAUAAAUAUAAGGACUGGAGAGCAGCUUGAAAACAUUUGGCAGGGAGGUGAUUAGAUGUCUACAGGGCAAGCUGAAGCUGGUUCGGGGGAUGCCCCCCCUUCGGGAUCAGAAGUUUGCAGUGAGAAAGACUACGAGCCUUCGCGAGGAAGACUAUGAGCUUUCAUCAUCACAACUUACUACACAAGCGCAAGGGGGGAGGGACUGCAUGCUAAUGGGCUCUCAGGAAUGUAAUGAAUAUGUAUCCGAAUUCCUGUCAACUAUUGAUUAUGUAUUAGUUCAACCUAUAUCUAUAGCACGAUUUCUCCUGACAGUGUGCAGGUUAGGUGGAACGAUCCCCCUUGCACCAGGAUGUAUGCACGUCACCAAUAAACACAUCCUUACUCUGCUCUACAUCCUUACUGGCUAUAGGGUCUGAUUUCUGCACAUCAUUACAUCCAAUCUAAAUGUGCCGUCUUUUUGUUUCAAACCAUUUCCCCUUGUAUUAUCACAAUAGACCUGUGAAAGAGUCUCUCUCUUUCUCAUGGCCCCCCUUUAGAUACUAAAAGGCAACUUGCAGGUUUCCCUGGAGCCUUCUCUUCUUCAAUCUGAACAGCCUCAGCUCUCUCAGCCUGUACACACAGGGGAAGAGUUCCAUCCCUUGGAUCAUUUUAGUGGCCCUCUGGAUGUGCUCCAACAGGUUCGUGUCUCUUCUGUUCAAGAACUGGAUGUAUUACUACAGAUGAAGUCCCACAAGUGCAGAGCAGAGAGGAAGGAUCAGCUCCCUCACCCUGCUGGUCACGUUUCUUUUGAUACAGCACAGGAUAUGGUUGACUUUAUGGACUGUGAGGGCAUACUGCUGGCUCACAUCCAGCUUCUCAUCCACCAGCACUCCCAACUUCUUUUCAGCAUGGCUGUGCUCUUGUUCUUUCACCUUUCAACAUGUAUUGACAGUGGGGAUUGCUGAGACAAAAGUGCAAGACCUUGCAUUUUGAAUUACUUGAACCUCAUGAUGUUCAUGGCACAGUGAUUGAAAGCAAGACUGGAAAGAUGGCCUGGGAUGAAAAACCAUGAAUGCAAUCAAGCAGGUUACAUAUAGAAUGCACAUAUUCAAACAACAAACAAACAAACAAAACAAAACAAAAAACAAUCAGAGCAAUAGAGAAACCAGAAAGUUGAAACAAUAUUUAAAAGAAAUUUGAGCUCCCAAUCAUCUGAUGCCAUUUUUCCUGCUACAAGAAGUUGUAGUUGGAAGGCUGACUUUUUUUUGGUAGAUAUUACCAUAAAUUUACUCUUCUCAAAAUGAACAUGCAGCAUCAUGUCUAUCAUAAUAAGAUACUACAAAGAUAUUUCUUUGGUUCAGAAAGUACCUGCUCAGAAAGUGCCCACAUCAUAUAGUUUCCUAGAUGCUGAAUUCAAUUUCAGUGGAAACAUCAUUCUGCGCUUGCCUUAUGCUUAGAGUUUCCUUCAGGCAUGACGAACCAGAUGUCCAAGAUAAGAAACAGUGCUGGGAAAACCUCCACCUGAGCUGUACCUAUUUUCUUGUUUCCAAUAUGAAGAAGAAAAAUAGAAGCAGCCUUUUAGUUACUCAGUGAAAGGAGAUAUUUUGAAAGAGUAUUUGUUACGACUCUUUCGCUCUUCAGAAAAAUACAGAAGACAGCAAAUUUACUUCUCUAGCCAGCUACCAAUGAAGCAAAGAUUACUAAAAAUUUUGUCAUAAAAGUAUUAAAAAGUGCCAGGAGUUCAGCAUCUAAUGCAAAGGAUAAGGGCUGUGGAAAUGUUUUCAUUCUUGGAUAGCGCAAUUUGCUGCAACACUGACUGGUUUACCAAAGUACAACAUUAUAAAUUAACUACCAAGUCUGCUCGGAAAGAUAAUGUGGUCCAGUAGACGAGUAAUUGGAAUUGUCCCAGAGAGGACAGAAGAGUAGAUGACAAAUAAAUGAGUCCAUGUCAUUUGCAGUGAACUACAUUUUGUUUCAGUGAACAAAUGUGCUACAAGUUUUCAGUCUGACUCCUCAAGAGGAGGGGAAAUACCUGAAUAACUCUCAGGUAAGCACAAAGGAAACAUUCUCAUACUUCUGCUUUCAUGGGUACAGAGAAUUAAAAAAUGAACAAAGAGAAGAGAACCACAGAAUUCAGCUCAGGGCACUAAUGGCAGGGCAAAAGAUAAAAGCUCUUAAAAUUAGUGUGUCUAACUCAUAGAUUAAGAAAGGAAAUAAACUGUAUGAAUAUAUAUAUAUUUUCUGGUACACUGGAAAGCCACUUGAUGAAAAGUUGAUUACUGUUCAUUCACAGUAGAAGUGAAGAAAUGUAACUGAUAUAUUUAAGAUACCAAUAAUUAACUAACUAAAGAAAUACAAAGGCCAUCGGUUGCCUUUGCAACAAGGGUAAUCAGCAUUUUUUUGUAGUUAUGGAUCCUGACUUUUCCUUGAUUCCCUGAACAUACAAUUCCUCACACCUGGACUUCAGGCAAAUCUGCCUUGUUUACAAGUUAGAUUGCAGUGUUUAUUGUUUACAAAACCUAAUACAUACAAAUAUACACAAAUAUAGGAAGUCUUCUAAACAUAGAAGAUUCACACUUUAAAACAUUCUACUUUCUAUUGUGUUUGCAUAGAGUUCAUAUAUCAAGAUCAAUCACCACAAAUGAAUGAUUUCUAGAUGGAUUUCUGUAGCUAUGGACUUGUCCUCAUACAUUGUUGGAAUCAAAGAAAUCCUGCCACAGACAUUCUGAAGAAUGCUGGUCAUUUUACUAUACUGAUAAAUUAGGGCAUAGAACAGUAUAAUUUGUAUGCAUUAUCCUACAGAAUAAUAGAGAAUUAGAGUAACUACUUCUUAGUCACUGUCUGGAUUAAACCUGUGAGGGAGUGGUUUACUUAAUGUAUUUUAACUUACAUAAGUCAUUCAGAAUGUAAUAGCUCCUAUUUAUUUCCAUGAAAACUGCAACAGAUUCAAAGAGCAUAAUUACAUGAUAUUAUAGAGGAAAUUCUCAACUACAAAACACUAUUUUUCAACAUAGUCACCAUCAUUAGGCAAUUUGCUCUUCAUCUUUUGAUGUGACAACUGUGCAUUGCUGUGUGGAACAUGGUUUGUCUUUCACAUUACUGCAACCAUGGCACCAUCUGCUUCAGCUCUCACAUGCACUGUUUUGGUCUCAACAGUCAUUGAUUAAUGUCAGUGGAUGUCAUUUUUUCCACAUGGAGGAAUUCCAUGGUGACACACCUUUGCCUCAUAUGCACCACUGUGUCAGACACCACUUUUGUCAGACUUCCCCUCUGCUGCCACUUGUCACACAGCAACAAAAUGUAACAGAAUAUUGGUGGUAAGGUUUAGCCUCUUCACUGCCAUAUCACCAAUAUCCACCUCUGACAUUAUGAGCAAACAUAAUAAAAUAGGAGAAUCACUUUCAAAGCAGCACUCACAUGGUUUUAAGAGCUUGACAUGCAGAAAAAAAAGAAAAAGAGAAAAAAAAAUGGGUUUUAACUUUAUAAAUGAAAAUAAUUAAUAUGUAAAGCAGCUAUUUCCCAUGAAGCAAAACAAGACAUACAUUACUAUAAAUGUGUUGGAUUUUACUUCUAUCAGUGACUCAUAAAUCACUGUGCAUUUGCUCCUCUCUGAAUGUAUAUUUAUUAGCAAUACAUGUAGGUGGAACAUUAUAUCAAAGUCUACAGUUGCGGAAAGGUAUUCAAAAGGUACAAUGAAUUCCUAUAUGUUAAUAUGAUUUUAGUGUAUUUUUAGCAUUCUACAUAUUCUUAAUUACAUAGAACAAAUGUUGUAUGGAUAUUUCAGAAUUCUGAGCUACAAAAUCUCCAAAGCGUGCAGAGAUUAGGAGAGGGGGGUAGUUGAAUAAAAAGGGAGAACUCAGGACAAUGGUUUAGAUAUGACUUUAUUUCAGUUUGUUACAUUAAACACAGAACAUGUUUGAAAUGAAGGUUUGGAAUGUAUUUCCACGUGGUUGCUUGUGAUGACAAAAAUAAGCAAAUGGUAGAUGUGCAUAAAAUGAGGACAAUUUGAUUAGCAUAAUAUGGACAGCCCUCCAAGUCCAGGAUAUUGUAGGCAUGUAGCAAAAUCUUAUCCAUAGGAAUUAUAAUUUUUAAUAGCAUAAAGAAAUUUUAGUUUUGUAUUUUCUGCAAAGGAUCAAAUAAUCCCAAAGCAAACUAUUUGCAUUUACUGCUUAACCUGUACUUACUACUUCUGCGAGAGCUUUCCUACCUGUAUGCUUUAAUUUAUAUAGAUAAGCUUUUCUUAUAGCACACACAGGUGAUCUAAACUCAAAGUUCUAACUUGAGCCUUUCAUUUUUAUAUAUGCUGUACCUACAUAAAGGUACUCAGCUACCUAAACCAUCUGUAACUUAAAAAUGGUUAGUAUAAAACAUAACAAAUACUGAUGUAUAAAAUCCACAUAAAAUAACAGUUCAAAAUGCCUAUAAAGGAUACAGAUGAAGAAAUUCAAACAAAAAUAACUGCUUAGAUUAGUUACCUCAAAAAUCCUUUCUUAUCCUCAUUCAGUUACCAUGCUGUCCUCCAAAUAUCUUUUUUUUUUUUUUUUUUUUUUUUUCUUUCCUGAAGUGUAUGAACAGAUUUCAAGCUUUGUCCCAGAUUUAACUACUAUGAAGUCUACCAGAAACCUCCUGGAAGGAAAAUCCAUCUCCUGCAUCACUUUAAUUAGAGGACAUCUUCAGUAAUACUUAUCCAACUGCCUUUGGGUUCAUGUGGCAAACACUGACUUAAAGAAGGUCCCUUUGGCAGCAUUAUGUUCUCAAACUAAAGAAAGGAAUCAUCUUGACAUAGACCUCAGCUUCCCUGCUCUAUGCAGCCAGUACAGCUGGACAGACACUGGAGGCACAUAAUCCAACAAGAAGCACACAAAGGCUCUGAACACAGAAGAGAAAGGCCUACCAUGCUACUCUGGCUGACACAGUCUGAGAAAGCGUUCAGAUGCAACAAGGACAGGUUUAUUAUUUGGCUGGAAUUAUUGAAAAGUAAUUGUAAAAUAGAUUCUAGAGAAAGUAUUAAAAAAGUAUUAAAGUAUUAAAAUAUUUUGUUACUUAACACUGAGGACAAAAUAAAAGCAAUUGAUAGAUCUGGGAGCUUAGCAUGAGUAAAUAAUGAAAACUUAAGGCUUAUCCAAUUGCUCUCAUGAACUGCUAGUGAAGGGGUAGAAUAUGAGCUGCAGGAAAACGUCUUCAUCUAAAGGUGAACAAAGGCACUAUCAGUAAAGGCAGGAUCAGUUUAGCUCCAGCAGGACCCACCAAAAUAUGGCCGUCUGGCUCCACCACAGAGCCUACAGCCCAUGGUUAAUAAACGCAUAGCUAUAUAUUUCAUUUACUCCAUCUUCAUGGUUAAAAAAAAUUUUGCAAAAUCUGUAUGGGAUUCCAAAUGAAUACAAUUGAGGGAACUUGCAUAAAUGUCUAGCCACAUAUGUACAAAUACAGUCUCCUUUUAUUAAUGUCUUUCACUACUUCUUAGGCUGUUUAAAUGAAGCAUUUAAUAAACUAAAUUAAAACAUUCCCAUCCCUGCGCUUCUCAGAUAACAUUGCAUAUAAUCAGAAGAAUAACCCAUAGAAGAACUUAUCACCUACUCCUUGAAAUGCCUUUGUUAAGAAAAAGAAAUUUAAUCCCUUCCUAAUUAUCAUUUUAUUUGGGUCAUUUGAAUUUAAGGAACUUGCUCUUCCUUUGUCCUUGUUCUAGUUUCCUCUGAGAUAAUUUUCUUCAUAGUGAUUGGUAUGAUGCUAUGUUUUCGAUUUAGGAUGAGAAUAAUGUUGAUAACACACCAAUAUUUUAGUUGUUGCUGAGUGGUGCUGCACAAAGUCAAGGACAUUUCUGCUUCUCACAGUGCCAUGCCAGCAAGGAGAUUGGAGAAGCUGAUCUAAUCUGGCCAAAGUGAUUUCUCAUACCACGUGGCAUUGUGCUGGAAAAUAAAAUUGAGGGGAGUUGGUCAGGGGAUUGCUCUGGCUGGGCAUCAGUUGGCAGUGAUGAGCAAUUGCAUUUUGCAUCAUUUAAAAAAAAUAUUUUUCUAUCAUUACUAUCUUAUCUGUCCUUUCAAACCGUCUUCAUCUCAACCUAUGUGUUUUACCCUUUUCUAAUUCUCUUUACCCAACACACUGUAAAGAAGUAAGCAAACAGCUGUGUAGUGCUUGACUCCCUGACUUGUUAAACCACAAAUUCUGUAUAUGAUGCUUCUUUGCACUAACACUUCAUAGAGAAAUACAAUGCCACAUCCCUGAAAGAGAAGUUCAAAUAUAGAAUAACUAUAGCUAUUACUAAGUUUGCAAUAUAUUAUUAUUUAGUCCCUGUAUUUGGUGCAAUUAGUGGGAUUAUCAUUGAUUUCAAAGUUCUUACACAUCUUGUUUCAGGAAAACAUCACAAGCAUGCAGAUUAGCUACGUGCUUCUACUUUUUCUGUCUUUUACAUCACUCUCAUUAUUCAUAUCCCAUUGACAUCACUAAAGACUUCACUGGGAGUAUGGCAGCAGUAGAAUUAGCAGUUGCAAGUAUUAUCCAUUUUCCAGGAAUUGAAGCAACAAUACAUGCAGAAAAGUGUGACUAAGCCAUACACAACCUCUGGAAGAUAAUGUUGCAUUGCAGUUUGCAAUCCCAAGCUUUUAAGUCUUUGAUGCUAGCAUUUCAUGGUUCAAAAUAGAAGAGCUUAUUCACCUCAAAAAACACCUCGUAUUUACAGGUAUGAAAAAGUAAGUCAUCACUAUGAAAUAAAACAGUUCAUAACACUUACUUAGAACAAAAAUAUUUAAUUCAAUUUGACAUGCUAUGAGUUACAAUGGGUUAAGAGAACUAAGGGUUCUCAGGCCUGCAAAAAGGAUAUAGCAAAGGCAGAUGCUGAAGUCUAGGAAAAAUAGACUAAAAAAUAAACAGAUGAGAUCUAAAUAUUAUGCACAGUAUUUAAAAACAAACAGAAAAAAACCCCAACUCUAAUAGAAUAAUCAACAGCUUUGUGAAGUGAAAUAUUCUGUUCAUAAAUCAUGACAGCUCCCCCUGAACUAAGCUGAUUUACAACACAGAACUAAAAACAACAAGCAAAAAAAAAAAAAUCUGGAAAACAAAACACUCAUACAUUACAAAAUAAACCGCAGGAUUAGUAGAAACACAAGAGACUUCUGACGGUCUUUUAAAUAGCUCCAAGGAGAGCUUCAGUCUUCUGAAAUUGAAUUCAUAAGAGUGAAAAUGAAAACAGUCAACCCUGAAACUUUAGCAAAUCGGUUUUUUUUGUUGUUGUUUUUUUUUGUUUUUUUAAAAGAUAGCUUCUAAAUUCAGUAGAAAUUUUUUCCAGUUUCAGUUUAUGACAGGAAGAUUGCUUUUUAAGUAAAAAAUGAAUCAACACUAACUAUGCUUUGGAGACCAUUUAAAUCAGUAACUGGGCUGAAAAUUUCAUAUAUAGCCUUAUCCAAAAGCAAUUUAAUAAGUCAGAAAAUAAUUCCACUCUAAGUAUAUUGGUUAUACUGAAUUCUACUUUUAGUUAUUUUGCAAAGGCAUCUCAUACUUGUUAUGUCUUAACAAACAAGAAUAAAAAUGAGAGAUCCUUAUUUUUAAUAGAAAUCUGAUAAGACACUGAGAGAAAGAGAGAUAAACUUACUGAAAAGAUUUUAAUACCUUCCCAAUAGGAAAAAAAAUCAUAAUUGACUUUUCAGAAGACUAAAAUUUGAGGACAACUUUACGAUUUACCCAAAGUGUGCUUCUACAGUAAUUAAGAUUUCCAUCUAAAAGCCAUGGUCCUUGUUUGACUAUCUGAGAGGCACUAAAUCUUCAACUACAUGGAAAAUAACUACAUCUAGUUCAAACAAUAUUACAGGAAUUUCAAACAGUAAGCUUCUAUCUUCUUCUCCAUAAAAGAGGGCUACUUAACAGAGCAGGUAAAUGCAAAUAACAUAUUUCUUUAAUGCAUGAGAAAGGUAUUCUCAAUUUACAUUUAAAUUAUCAAAUAGCUUUUAAGUUGAUUUGUCUUCCAAAUCCCAGUUCCAUUAUCAGAAUUACUGCAUGCAUGUUAGUUCACUUUUUGACUCUGUCUGAGGGAACUAAUUUUGAGAGGUUUUUUUUGGUGGUGGUAUUUUUGUUUGUUUGUUUGUUUGUUUUGUUUUGUUUUGUUUUUCCCCUAAAGCAGAAUUUAGGUGAAGUAUAGAGCAUAAUUCACAUUUGUGAGACUCAGCCACUAGCAGAAUUCCACUAAAAUAUGGUUCCUAAAUCUACAUAUCUCUACACAUUUGUUCAGUGGAUUUUGCACUUCCAAAUUCUCAAUAGAAGACCUUCAGCAGGACAUGUGAUUUAUAGGAAGCUGUAAAAAAAAAAAAAAAAAAAAAAAAAAAAAAAGGAAGCAAAAGUAGAGCAUCUGACUUAAUGUUCUAUGAACUAAGAACCACUUGCAAAAAUAUUUCGUAACUACAGAAAUGCCACGUGGAUCUAGAUAAAGUAGAUAUGCCCAGUUGUUAUGGAGGGUGUCUUUGAUAGGAAGGGAUCCAGGAUCAAGUCAGUGCCCAGCACUAGAUCAAGGCUAGGUCUCACUCUGCAGAAAGGUGGCUUCAGCAGUGCCUCUGGGAAAAAAAAAAAAAAAAAAAAAAAAACAGAAGAAUUUUCCAAGAAAGAGAACAGAGCAACGGAUUAUCUGUCAAACAGCUCCACAGCCAAAGAUCACUGAAGCAUUGGGUCCUGGCUGAGAGAUAGCACCACAGGUCUCCAAGGGCCACAAACAUUGAAAGAUUGAGGACCUCUGCUGCUCGAUAAUUUUGUCCAGAAGCCCACUGGGGAUUUCCCAUACCACUGGGAUAGUAAACAAUACAGACAGAAGGGAUUUUCCAAUAAAAGUUUCAAAGAAAAAGCAACAACAACAACCACUAGGAAUCCUAAAACCACAGACACAGAAAAUGUGAUGCAGCAUAACACAACUAACAGAAGCAUUGUUCUUCAUCAGUAAAGAAAUCAAAAACAAAACCAAGCAAGACUGUUUUCCCUAAAAAUCUUUCAUUGCAAAUUAAAUACAGUAGUUUAUACGGAACCCAGAAGAGACUGACAUACCUGAUCCAUCAUCAUUUGUAAUUAUUUCCAAUCAUGAAACACUUUUGAGAUACCAAUCUAGAAAUUGAAUCAGAAGGACAUUUACUUUUUAAUAUUAAAAUUUUAUAUGCUAUUCUUAAUAAGCAGACUAGUAGAUAUAAUACAAGAUAAAAUAUCCUAAUUGUUAUUUCACACAUCAUUUCAUACUUACAUACAUCACAUAAAACAAAAAAAAGAUCUGAAAUAUGAUCAGCUAGUGUAGGAGGAAUAAGUCAAGUUGUUUAUCAAGUAGGGAAGUAUGAAAACAAGUAGACUUACACCGCUGAUGUGAAAUAAAGAAUUAGAAAGCAUUACUUUCAAUCUCAACAUGACUAACAGCAACAUUAUUUUAUAUUCUUAAUGACCUCAUAAACAUGCCGCUCUAAUGUCGAACUUGAAACGAUUAUGUUUGUUAUUAUAAAUAUACAGGUAAAUUUUAAUUUUCUAAUAUUUUUAAACCAGAGAUAAAUUCAUUAAAAAAAUGCAUUUUCUGGAAGAAGGAUUUGGCACGGUAUGAAACCAUAUUUCCCCUGGGCUCACAACAUCAAAAAAUACAAUAUUUUUCUGUGUGGUUUCAAAAAUGAGUUCUGUUCAGCUUGAGGGUAGCUUCUACUUUACACUGAAGAAGAGAAAGAUUUACUCACACUCUCCACUGCAAAACUGAAGUAGAUUAUCCCUCA
ensembl:lncRNA